UGCCUAACACAUGCAAGUCGAACGAAGCUUUCGGGCUUAGUGGCGGACGGGUGAGUAACACGUGAGAACCUGCCUUCAGGAUGGGGACAACAGUUGGAAACGACUGCUAAUACCCGAUGUGCCGAGAGGUGAAAGAUUUAUCGCCUGAAGAUGGGCUCGCGUCUGAUUAGCUAGUUGGUAGUGUAAGGGACUACCAAGGCGACGAUCAGUAGCUGGUCUGAGAGGAUGAGCAGCCACACUGGGACUGAGACACGGCCCAGACUCCUACGGGAGGCAGCAGUGGGGAAUUUUCCGCAAUGGGCGAAAGCCUGACGGAGCAAUACCGCGUGAGUGAGGAAGGUCUUUGGAUUGUAAACCUC
rnacentral:rRNA from 1 species